UACCUACGGGCGGCAGCAGUGGGGAAUAUUGGACAAUGGGCGAAAGCCUGAUCCAGCCAUGCCGCGUGUGUGAAGAAGGUCUUCGGAUUGUAAAGCACUUUAAGUUGGGAGGAAGGGCAGUAAGUUAAUACCUUGCUGUUUUGACGUUACCGACAGAAUAAGCACCGGCUAACUCUGUGCCAGCAGCAGCGGUAAUACAGAGGGUGCAAGUGUUAAUCGGAAUUACUGGGCGUAAAGCGCGCGUAGGUGGUUUGUUAAGUUGGAUGGUACAGCCCCGGGCUCAACCUGGGAACUGCAUCCAAAACUGGCAAGCUAGAGUACGGUAGAGGGUGGUGGAAUUUCCUGUGUAGCGGUGAAAUGCGUAGAUAUAGGAAGGAACACCAGUGGCGAAGGCGACCACCUGGACUGAUACUGACACUGAGGUGCGAAAGCGUGGGGAGCAAACAGGAUUAGAUACCCUUGUAGUCGGC
rnacentral:rRNA from 1 species